rnacentral:rRNA from 1 species
UGGGGAAUAUUGCACAAUGGGCGCAAGCCUGUUGCAGCCAUGCCGCGUGUAUGAAGAAGGCCUUCGGGUUGUAAAGUACUUUCAGCGGGGAGGAAGGGAGUAAAGUUAAUACCUUUGCUCAUUGACGUUACCCGCAGAAGAAGCACCGGCUAACUCCGUGCCAGCAGCCGCGGUAAUACGGAGGGUGCAAGCGUUAAUCGGAAUUACUGGGCGUAAAGCGCACGCAGGCGGUUUGUUAAGUCAGAUGUGAAAUCCCCGGGCUCAACCUGGGAACUGCAUCUGAUACUGGCAAGCUUGAGUCUCGUAGAGGGGGGUAGAAUUCCAGGUGUAGCGGUGAAAUGCGUAGAGAUCUGGAGGAAUACCGGUGGCGAAGGCGGCCCCCUGGACGAAGACUGACGCUCAGGUGCGAAAGCGUGGGGAGCAAACAGG